CUUCAAUUGAUGACGUCAGCAGCACAAUUACUCCAGUCCAGGACCGCAAGAACCAACCAGAGAAGAAACUACCUGGCUCCUCUUCCAAAUAUGUGCUCAGUAAAUACACUGUGCAACCAGAUCCAACAGUACAGACCCGAUCAUCCUGUCCAGUCAGCAUACAAUGAUACGUACAAGUUCAGCUGAUGUGCUCCACCAAAGCAGGGUCCUGCGUUGACGAUGGAAGACCCAGAGAGGAUUAAGGAGCGUGAAACCCACCUACAGUGCUCAUUAUAAACAGAGUGAGCUCAGAAGCAAUAAACCAAACACAUGAACAUCAGUUGAUUAAUCUUGGGGGCCAACAAGAAAAUUGGAAAAUCUCAACCACUGGACUGGACUAGCAUGCAGGCAGACUACCCCCCAGUGAAGGACACAAGAGACUCACUUCGCCCCGGAACUAC